GCCACCCGCCGCUGGUGGAAACAGUAAGCCAACGAGGCCAGGACGCCCACGGGGGCCCACACGCGCAUGCUAGAGGCUCUGGAAGCUGAGGCUUCAGCAGGACCUGCCCCCAUCUAAGUCAGCGGCACAGGAGCACGGGAAAGUGAGUCCGGAGACUUCGUCCGAUGUGGAAACUCAGCCUGGAUGUACUUCAUCGGUAGAGCACUCUCCGAGCAUGCGCAAAGCUUUAGCGC